CGUACACUCCUGCGGGAGGCAGCAGUAGGGAAUCUUCGGCAAUGGGGGCAACCCUGACCGAGCAACGCCGCGUGAGUGAAGAAGGUUUUCGGAUCGUAAAGCUCUGUUGUAAGUCAAGAACGAGUGUGAGAGUGGAAAGUUCACACUGUGACGGUAGCUUACCAGAAAGGGACGGCUAACUACGUGCCAGCAGCCGCGGUAAUACGUAGGUCCCGAGCGUUGUCCGGAUUUAUUGGGCGUAAAGCGAGCGCAGGCGGUUUGAUAAGUCUGAAGUUAAAGGCUGUGGCUCAACCAUAGUUCGCUUUGGAAACUGUCAAACUUGAGUGCAGAAGGGGAGAGUGGAAUUCCAUGUGUAGCGGUGAAAUGCGUAGAUAUAUGGAGGAACACCGGUGGCGAAAGCGGCUCUCUGGUCUGUAACUGACGCUGAGGCUCGAAAGCGUGGGGAGCGAACAGGAUUAGAAACCCUGGUAGUCCC
rnacentral:rRNA from 1 species